rnacentral:rRNA from 1 species
CCUGAGAAACCCAAAAGAUCGAAUGGGGAGAUUCAUCGUCAGCUCAUUUUGUAUAUAUAUAAGUUAUGAUAUGGGUUACUACUUGUAGUAUUGCUUGUACAUUCUUGUAUAUUUAAUUGCAAGAUAUUGUCGGCGUGCACUUCUCCCCUAGUAGGACGUCGCGACCCGUUGAGCGUCGGUUUACGGCCCAGGUGGUAGUCUUUAAUUCUUUGAAUUAAAGACCCUUGGUGUUUCCUAACUGACUAUUCGGCGGUAUUCGUACGGUAUUAAGCCGCAUUUAUGCGUUCAUAAUCGUUGCAAGCGCGGUCAAUUUUUGGUAGUACGGACCUAGUGCCGUCGCUAUAAUUGAUCAGCUGUUGGUUGUACGGUAUUCUAGAACUGGCUUUUUAUAUAUACCGGUCAGCGAUGUUA